CAGCUCCCGCAUACCUCCACCUGCCAUAUUGGUCUGCCAUGGUAGGCCAGGUGUUGCCUACUGCCCCUGCCUUUAUUGGGAUGGACAGCUGGAGUAAACAUCAUCCAGAAAGACUGGGACUCUGGGUCCUCUCAAACCCAGCACACCCGCACCACGAAUACCAGCCCCCAGCAAGAAACCUCGAAGCACUUUGGGCCAAAGUGGUUUCAGUUUGAAACCAUGAUGAAUUUAACAUAAAUCAAGAAAAGCAACAGAAGCAACUUUUCCCAUCUGGAAUGGAGUACAGCCUUCUAUUUUAUGCUAUUUGUCUACCCUGUCACUAACUGCAGAGAAAACGUUCUAAAAACUGCCCUUUGUAGCCUCAAGCCAUUUCCCUAGGGCUGUUUGACUU
rnacentral:lncRNA from 1 species